AGCAGCCGCGGUAAUUCCAGCUCCAAUAGCGUAUAUUAAAGUUGCUGCAGUUAAAAAGCUCGUAGUUGAAUUUCGGGACUAAUAUGUCGGUCGUGCCUCGGUACGUACUGGCUUAUUGGUUUCUCCUUUCUGAAGAACCAUGAUGUCAUUUAUUUGGUGUCGUGGGAAAUCAGGACUGUUACUUUGAAAAAAUUAGAGUGUUUAAAGCAGGCUCACGCUUGAAUACAUUAGCAUGGAAUAACGGGAUAGGACGUUUGAUUCUAUUUUGUUGGUUUCUAGGAUCGACGUAAUGAUUAAUAGGGAUAGUUGGGGGCAUUAGUAUUCAAUUGUCAGAGGUGGAAUUCUUGGAUUUAUUGAGGACUAACUACUGCGAAAGCAUUUGCCAAGGAUGUUUUCAUUAAUCAAGAACGAAAGUUAGGGGAUCGAAGACGAUCAGAUACCGUCGUAGUCUUAACCAUAAACUAUGCCGACUAGGGAUCGGAUGAUGUUAAUUUUUAAUGACUCAUUCGGCGCCUUACGG
rnacentral:rRNA from 1 species